rnacentral:lncRNA from 1 species
GACUACCAUACUCUUCCGUCGCCACCACCGCUGACGGAAAACUCUAAAUUGGCCAUCUAAUAACCAUCGUCUUCCUCUAUGAAAUUUAAAACCCAAAUUCCCCAUCUUCACGAAUUUGAAGAAAACAGAAUAGCCCUUGUCACCUCCGAAAACCAAAUAGCUCUCUUAGCUUGAAUAGCUGCACCUUUCAUUCCGAUGAGUAACCAGGUACGGUACUUGGCUCGCCGGUGUAUGUAUUCUAGCUCUUUGUUUGAACGAAAAGUCUGGUUAUUCUUCGGACUUUUAUUUCCCUAUACUCUGGUGGUCUAAGAUAAAUCCUGAGGUCAUGAGUUGAGUUUUGAGCACCUGAGGUUGGGUAAAUCCCUAACUCUUUCUCCUCGUUCUUUUUUUUUUCCUGGUUGAUUACAACUAUGGUGUAGUUUUAAAUUCAAUUAUAAUUUGAUGCAUAAGCAUCAGCAGGUGAACCAACAGUAGUGGUGAGCAACAAAAGAAAAUCUGAAACACCUUACAAGUUCUAUGCACCUUCAAAAAUCAAACCAGACAACCAUCGAGUUUGACCGAAAAUUUCGCCGACGAUUCCAGCUUGUCAAUGAUGGGAAUUUGAUGGCGCUGACAACAAAGAAGAUUUCAAAAGUAAAUUGAGAAAGAUUUUUAAGGAAUGACUCUUUAUAAUUGUUGUCCUGGGUCUUGUGUAAAAAGAUGAAAUUGUUAAUAAAGGAUGGUGAAAAUGGUCCUAAAAUAAAACUUCUCUAAUAAUGGUAUUGGUGGUUCCCCU